rnacentral:tRNA from 1 species
AGUCUUAUAUUUUAAUAAAAAUAUUGGGUUGCAAACCUAAUGAUGACCAAGUUCUAAGACUU